rnacentral:rRNA from 1 species
UACGGAGGAUCCAAGCGUUAUCCGGAUUCAUUGGGUUUAAAGGGUGCGUAGGCGGAAUGAUAAGUCAGUGGUGAAAGCCUGUUGCUUAACAACAGAACUGCCAUUGAUACUGUCAAUCUUGAGUACAUUUGAUGUGGGCGGAAUGUGUCAUGUAGCGGUGAAAUGCUUAGAUAUGACACAGAACACCGAUUGCGAAGGCAGCUCACAAAACUGUAAACUGACGCUGAGGCACGAAAGCGUGGGUAUCAAACAGG